UACGUAGGGGGCGAGCGUUGUCCGGAUUCAUUGGGCGUAAAGAGCUCGUAGGCGGUUCGGCAAGUCGGGUGUGAAAACUCCAGGCUCAACCUGGAGACGCCACCCGAUACUGCUGUGACUCGAGUCCGGUAGGGGACCACGGAAUUCCUGGUGUAGCGGUGAAAUGCGCAGAUAUCAGGAGGAACACCGGUGGCGAAGGCGGUUCUCUGGGCAUUACCUGACGCUGAGGAGCGAAAGUGUGGGGAGCGAACAGG
rnacentral:rRNA from 1 species